rnacentral:rRNA from 1 species
UGGCUCAGAGUGAACGCUGGCGGUAGGCCUAACACAUGCAAGUCGAACGGCAGCACAGGAGAGCUUGCUCUCUGGGUGGCGAGUGGCGGACGGGUGAGGAAUACAUCGGAAUCUACUUUUUCGUGGGGGAUAACGUAGGGAAACUUACGCUAAUACCGCAUACGACCUACGGGUGAAAGCAGGGGAUCUUCGGACCUUGCGCGAUUGAAUGAGCCGAUGUCGGAUUAGCUAGUUGGCGGGGUAAAGGCCCACCAAGGCGACGAUCCGUAGCUGGUCUGAGAGGAUGAUCAGCCACACUGGAACUGAGACACGGUCCAGACUCCUACGGGAGGCAGCAGUGGGGAAUAUUGGACAAUGGGCGCAAGCCUGAUCCAGCCAUACCGCGUGGGUGAAGAAGGCCUUCGGGUUGUAAAGCCCUUUUGUUGGGAAAGAAAUACCAGCCGGCCUAAUAUCCUGGUUGGGUAUGACGGUACCCAAAGUAAUAAGUCACCGCGCUAAUUUCGUC